CCUACGGGAGGCAGCAGUGGGGAAUAUUGGGCAAUGGGCGCAAGCCUGACCCAGCAACGCCGCGUGAAGGAAGAAGGCUUUCGGGUUGUAAACUUCUUUUCUCAGGGACGAAGAAAGUGACGGUACCUGUCGAAUAAGCCACGGCUAACUACGUGCCAGCAGCCGCGGUAAUACGUAGGUGGCAAGCGUUGUCCGGAUUUACUGGGUGUAAAGGGUGUGUAGGCGGGCUGACAAGUCAGAUGUGAAAUCCGGGGGCUCAACCCCCGAACUGCAUUUGAAACUGUUGGUCUUGAGUAUCGGAGAGGCAGGCGGAAUUCCUGGUGUAGCGGUGAAAUGCGUAGAUAUUAGGAGGAACACCAGUGGCGAAGGCGGCCUGCUGGACGGCAACUGACGGUGAGGCGCGAAAGCGUGGGGAGCAAACAGGAUUAGAUACCCCGGUAGUC
rnacentral:rRNA from 1 species